rnacentral:rRNA from 1 species
GAUGAACGCUGGCGGCGUGCCUAAUACAUGCAAGUCGAGCGAACAGAUAAGGAGCUUGCUCCUUUGACGUUAGCGGCGGACGGGUGAGUAACACGUGGAUAACCUACCUAUAAGACUGGGAUAACUUCGGGAAACCGGAGCUAAUACCGGAUAACAUAUUGAACCGCAUGGUUCAAUAGUGAAAGGCGGCUUUGCUGUCACUUAUAGAUGGAUCCGCGCCGUAUUAGCUAGUUGGUAAGGUAACGGCUUACCAAGGCAACGAUACGUAGCCGACCUGAGAGGGUGAUCGGCCACACUGGAACUGAGACACGGUCCAGACUCCUACGGGAGGCAGCAGUAGGGAAUCUUCCGCAAUGGGCGAAAGCCUGACGGAGCAACGCCGCGUGAGUGAUGAAGGUCUUCGGAUCGUAAAACUCUGAUAUCAGGGAAGAACGAAUGUGUAAGUAACUGUGCACAUCUUGACGGUACCUGAUCAGAAAGCCACGGCUAACUACGUG